UGCCACCUAAUUUCCUCAUCUCUCAGUAAAAAUAGCAAUCCCUCUUCUGCCCACUUCCAGGAUUGAUGAGACUCUCUAGUGAGCUAAGCACAGAAGAAAGUUUUUGAAACACUUUGCAAAUAUUAAUGACUAUUAUUAUUCAACUUCCUUUUUUCAUUUCAUUCCAUCUCCAUUCUUUGUGGCUUAUUUACAAUCUCUGACUUCCAGAAAGGAUUUGAGGCAAUUGUCUCAGCAAUAUACCUUUCUAAAACUGUGUGAAUUCAAUUUAAUAAUUAUUGAUCUCCUGUUAUAUCAACUUUACUGAGCACUUGCUAUGCCCUGGGAACUGUGCAAAUCAUAUCUCUGAAACAAAACACAAAGUACUUGAGGGAAAUAUUUUUAUUUAUCUUUGCCUAAAGAUGUGUGUAUUGAGGCUUGUGGAUAUUAAAUAACUUGAUCCAGGCUGCAAAUGAAAGUUACGGAGUCCAAAUUUAACUCAGAUCUCAACGACUUCAAUGUCUAUGCCCUUAACUAUUGUUCUAUAUCACCCUUCAUGAUCCAUGGUCCCAAAUGAAACACUUUCAAAAUCCAACUAAUCUUCUUUGAAUAUCUUUUCCAAAAAUUAUUCUGGUAGCUCUUUUGAAGUUUUUGUCAAAAUAGUUGGUGGAAUUUGUUCUAAGAGACACCACACACUCAAUAAAUCUGCCCAUGGGCCCUGUGUUCCUUGAAUAGAUAACUCAACUUUUUCCCUGUAAUUUUUGUCUCAUUUGUCAGUCUGUCUAAUUGAAUCCAAAGCUCUUUAGUGAUUUCAAGUGAUAGCUACAUACUGUAUUCCCUACCUAGUUCUUUUUUUUUUUUUUUGCACAUGUUACUGUAAAAAUGUAAUUAUGUGGUAAUAAAAGGGUUAGUUUAUUACAUCAUGUUUCAUAAUGCUCAAUUUUGUAAUUCAGAAUCUUUUAUUAUUUUUCUUUGGCAAUGGAAACCAUAGACUCAGAAAAUAGAAAAUGGAGCUUCUGGGUUGUGAGGGCAUAUGGAAAGUUCCCUAAUUCAGACUUUUCAUUUUGGAGGUGAGAUGAUGAUGGCCCAGGUCAGGGAGGUAACUGGUAUUGAAGAACAGUGGAUAUUGAGUGGUUCAGAUUCUCAUCUUUCAUAUGAUCCAUCAUUGUGCAUCUAAGAAUGAUGACAGUUAGAAACUGAAGCGAGUGAAAACUGGGUCCCGCUUUUCCACAUGCUAUUUGAUGCUGGGCUGGGCACUUUAUGCUCUGAUGGUCAUUUAGCUCUUCUGGAAAAUGGAGAGCAAGAUCUAGUGUUGAGGUGAUCAUAAAAGCCUAUCAGGCUGUGUGUUCCAUUUAUUGAGGUUGAUACCGUAUUCUUCAAAGUGGAGAACAAAACAUGAAAGAUUUAAUAACCUUUAUUUUGAGGAGUUUCAUGCUGAACACACACACACAUACACACACACAUGAACUUCAUGAAGCCAAACAUAACACACUCAUUUUAUGCAGAAAGGCAUGAAAAUAACUCCUGUGGUACAAAUUCAGAGCUAUAAAGAGCAUUAGAGGUUGCAAUAUCAGGCUAAUUCUUUGAAUAAAAGCAAUUCACUGAAAUAGCCUUUGAAGAACCAUACAGAGAAGAGUGAGAGCAGUGGUCUAGAUGAUGGACCAGAAGAGGUAGACGUGGAAAAGAGGGAACCUGUACAGGCAGGAAAAUGAUGGACAGGAGAUCACAUGAUUGGCAUGGAAGCCUACUGUGAUGAUCGUGACUUAAAUUUUUGGGAAGAAAUCUUGACUUUUGUGCUUACAUUUAAUAAACAUUUAUGGAUUACUUACCCUUACCUGCAGAGCCCUGUGCUAAGCUGCGUGAUACAGCACUGAGCAAGAAGAUGCCGUCCUUGUCUCAACAGCACUUAUACUGGAGAGAGAGGACCACUAAUUAAAAAUAAUUAAAAGUUAGAAGUGAUGGGCAUCAUGAAGGGAAGUCCUCCAACACUGGGAAUGAAAACAAGGACAUAAUCAAGCUAUUCUCUGUAAUAUAUGCCACAUGAUCCAACUUCUUUGCCUCCACAUUCUUUAAGACUUGGAGAGGGUCCUGCGGUCCUGCAUAAGAUACAGCCGUUUAGUGACAUGUUUUUCUUCUGUUAUAUUGUGAACCCACAGGGACCAGGGAUAAUGCACCACCUGUCCUUAUACCCCCAAUGCCAAUGCCCAAUUUAGUUUCACUCUGUGCACUAGGUAGGGUAAGGUGAUGAAGUGUCGUCUUUCCUCCUCCAUGAAGAGCUCAUCACUGUCCACAACUCUUCUCUAAAUGGACUCUGCAGUGAUGUGAUAAUUCCACCGCUUUUGCAAACUAUCAAACUAGGAUGGAUUCAUAUAGGGGCCAGCCUUCCAUGUCCAACGCCAUAUGUAUGUUGUUGCUUAACAGUUCUGUACAGGAAAUAUGACUUGAUCAGGCAGCAGACAUACACCCAGUUUGAAAGAAAAACAAUAGAUUAAUGCAUGCAUAGAUGUUUGGGGCUGCUUCAUGCAGUAACAUCAUUAACUGCAAAGAGGUUUAGGGAAGCAAGAGGAAUUUAGGAGUUUUCAAUUAUUAUUUUGGAAUGUUGUGUUGCUAUUCCUCAUUUUCCUAACUCAGAUUUAGGUUUGCAAUGAGUAGAUGGAAUUUCAGAGGAGGAUUAAGGAAGUCAUACUGAAAUGACAAAAUAGGUAAAUAGAAUAUAAUGUAGAAUGAAAUGUAAAUUGGAUUUAGGCAAACACUUUUAUACAGCCUUACCAUCCAACCCUAUCCGACUGCUUCAGAUUCCUAUAGUGGCUGCUGUGCACGGUUCUAUUACAUGUUGCCACUCAAGGGCAUUUGAUGUUUUCUCUCUCUGAAAAUUCAUUUGCAUUUAAAUGAUUUGAAAUAAUCAUAAAAGCCAAGUGCUAUGAAGUUUGAAAUUAGUUACUGUCUAUAAAUUGCGAUACCAUUAAAAGAUGAUUGUGGAGAGCUUUGCUGUCUCAAAUGUAGGCAGAUUAAAAUCUAACAAAGUACACCUUGUUACAAAACUGUAAAGAAUGAUGGGAUACAGAAUAAAAUUGAUUUAUUCUCCUACCAGUGCCUAUAAGAUCAAUGAACUUGGGUUUAUUCUUGGAGUAACAAACUUUUCAUCUGGCCUAUAUCUGUCCUCCUAAAUCUAUGGAUGUUUAUAGAACUUGCUAGAUUUCAUUCUUAUUCUUUAUGGUAAAAUGAAAGGAGAACUGAGUUGUAUUUUCUUUUUAAAUGAGAGGAUAUGGGAACAUGUUCUGGAAGAGAAUCUUGGAAAUGUGCAUGUGCAUGUGCAGGCUUCACAUCAGAGCUAUCUCCAAAAUAGAAACUUCUAGUCUAGUCAUCCUGAAAGAUACAUGUAACAGUACUGCAGUAGCUAAAAGUGUAGGCUCAGAAGAAUUUUGGUUUCAAAUAUCAAUUCUGACUAUAAUUAACCAUGUGACACUGGGUAGGUUGCUUAGCUCUUGUGAUUCUGAACUUGGAACAAUAACAGCAACAUCUAUAUUAUAGGAUUAAUGAAGAGUGUAGAAAGUAAUAAAGCACAUGAAUGUUUACUAAGGUGUGUAAGACCUGGUAAGUAAUUGACGCUUAUCAGUUAUCUUUUACAAGAUAUAUUUGAGAUGUUCCAUUCUUGACUUUCUUUGACAAUCGCAGUGCUUGAGACGGUUAUCACACAUGACCUCAACAAGCACGUUGGAUGUUUGUUCCUACAAGAAUAGAGGCAUCUGUUCCCUUCCACUGAAUCAGCCCUCUUGAUUUCUGAGAAGUAGAUUACAGAGGAAAUGACAUCACGCCAGUUUCUGGGCCCAAACUGAAGAAACUGAUGGCCAUUUUCUCCCUGUGUCCUCAUGGACCUUUUCUCUUUCCAAAUUUCCCCAUCUUAUAAGGAUAUUACUCAUACUGGAUUAGAGUCUGCCCUUAUGACCUUGUUUUAACUUGAUUACCUCUAUAAAGGUGCUAUUUCCAAAAAAGGUCAGCUUCUGAGGUACUGAGGUUGAGAAUUUCAAAAUAUGAAGUUGGGGAGGGGGGCAAUUUGACCUAUAACACUAGCACUAACUUGUCCAUCAUGUGCACCUGCUAUCUUUGAAGUGGAUCCUCCAGUUCCUAUUACCACCACAUGAGUCCCACACAAAUGUGGAUUCAUGAAGAAAACAGUGAUUAUUGUUAUUUUAAGCCACCAAGUCUUGUGUAAGUUGUUUUGUGGUAGUAGAUAACCAAAAGAAUGUUUUUUUUGGACCGGACACCUGUCAUUGAUUUUUAUAACACAGUCUAAAGACACUGCCUCCAAUUGACCCUUUGUUCCAUUGACAAAUUGUAUUCCUUUCUUUCAUUGUCUCAUUUUAUUCCUGGCUGACUUCAGUAAGGUUUAUAAUCCAGUCUGCCUCCCAAGAAUCAAACCCCAGCUCUGUAUAGGGUUAGACUACUCAAUGUGUGGAGUUCCCAUUGUGGCACAGCAGAAACAAACCUGACUAGGAACCAUGAGGUUGCAGGUUUGAUCCCUGGCCUUUCUCAGUGGGUUAAGGAUCCAGCAUUGCCGUGAGCUGUGGUGCAUGUCAUAGACAUGUCUAGGACCUGGUGUUACUGUGGCUGUAGUAUAGGCUGACAGCUGUAGCUCCUAUUCGACCCCUCACCUGAGAACUUCCAUAUGCCACAGGCGCGACCCUAAAAAGCAAAAUAAACAAACAAAACCAAAAAACUACACAAGGUGCAAAUAGGUUGAUAGGUUGUAUAUAGAUAGAAAAAUAAACAAAUAUACAUACCUGACACUUCACUCCAAAGGUAUAGUGUCGCCAUGAUCAAAAAUACUCUAAAGUCACUUAAGUACACAAAGUGACUUGUGGCAGAGAAAACUCUUGACGAAGACAGGCUGAAGUAUCAGAGAAGUGAGAUUCAGACAAAUAUUGCAAAAUAAGCCAUUACUUCAUCUGACCUUUGUCCACUAAGUGCCUAUUAAAGCCCAUUCACAUAACCAGCCUGACGAAUACACUUCCUCAGAGAUGACCUCCGACGACAUCAGAGCAAAGACUCUUCAACUCCAUUCUCAGCAAUUUCUCGUAACUCUUCUUGUUUCUUUCUUAUCAAUUAUCUUCCAUUUAAGUAUUGCUCUUGGGAGGACCAGGUCACUUUUUUGUCCCCAAGCAAGAUUGAAGACAAUCUCUCAAACCUAAGUCAAUGAGGAUUGAGAGCAUUAAAUGACAAAUCUGGCCAGAGUCUUUAAAGAGUACUAGGGUAAGUUGAGGAGAUCUAAAUCACAUAUCAAGUUCAAGGGUAAGACCAGAGUUAAAGUGGAAGGAAAAAGGCUAGGAGCUGAUUGCUUCUCUACUGUCUCUUUGGUUUUCACUGUAAUCCAAUCAAUUUUCUUUCCUAGAGUUGAUGCUGAGGGAAGGUGGGAAACUACAAUUAUUUUGGAAGGCCUGGGUCCAGGGCUUCAUGCAGAGGAAAUCCUGGCACAUCCAAAUACAGAGACUUUAAUCACUGAUCUCCUGUGGCCUCUGAGUGCUAGUUCAACUGCAGGAGAUGUCACAGAGAUGCUGUAAGAUUGAAAACUUGAGGCAGGUUUAACACACUUUGUAGAGCGACUCAAAGUACAGUACUAAUUGGAAAGUAUACAUUUGAAAUUUUGAAAAUUUCUUUGCAAAAAAACAGGUAUUCUUAAACUCAAACACUAGAGUCAUUGUGGCAUCAAAAUAAUUAAGUGACUAACGAGGACAUGGCUAUGUGUGAUUAUCAACACCAUGGAGAAUGCAAUGAUUUUUCUGGUGUUAUUGAUCACCUUAGGACAUGAACCAGAUUGUUCAAAUCCAAAAUCUCCUGUUUACAAUGAGCAGGUUGACUGUAUGAUGUAAAAGUCUUCAAUAUAACCUUUGCUUUAAAAAAAAAGUAUUCUUAGUUCAGACCACCAUUCAUCAUACUUUUGUGUAGCUUUAUUCAUACAAUAUUUUAUUUUAGAUGAUCUCCCAAUUUAAGAUGUCAGAAUUGCUCCUGUACUUGAGG
rnacentral:lncRNA from 1 species